AACGCGAAGAACCUUACCUGGGCUCGAACGGCUUCUCAACGACGGUGGAAACACCGUUAUCCCGCAAGGGAGUGGAGUCGAGGUGCUGCAUGGCUGUCGUCAGCUCGUGUCGUGAGAUGUUGGGUUAAGUCCCGCAACGAGCGCAACCCUCGUCCUGUGUUGCUAUCCCGCAAGGGAGCACUCGCAGGAGACCGCCAGCGAUAAGCUGGAGGAAGGUGGGGAUGACGUCAAGUCCUCAUGGCCUUUAUGUCCAGGGCUACACACGUGCUACAAUGGCCGGUACAAAGCGUUCCCAAGCCGCGAGGUGGAGGCAAUCGCAAAAAACCGGUCUCAGUUCGGAUUGCAGGCUGCAACUCGCCUGCAUGAAGCUGGAAUCGCUAGUAAUGGCAGAUCAGCACGCUGCCGUGAAUACGUUCCCGGGCCUUGUA
rnacentral:rRNA from 1 species